AAUCAACGCUGGCGGCGUGCCUAACACAUGCAAGUCGAACGAGAAAGUGGAGCAAUCCAUGAGUAAAGUGGCGACCGGGUGAGUAACACGUGACUAACCUACCCUCGAGUGGGGAAUAACCACGGGAAACCGUGGCUAAUACCGCAUAACAUCAUCGGAACGCAGGUUCUGAUGCUCAAAGGAGCAAUUCGCUUGAGGAGGGAGUCGCGGCUGAUUAGCUAGUUGGCGGGGUAAUGGCCCACCAAGGCUUAGAUCGGUAGCCGGCCUGAG
rnacentral:rRNA from 1 species